AUUGAACGCUGGCGGCAUGCCUUACACAUGCAAGUCGAACGGCAGCACGGGUGCUUGCACCUGGUGGCGAGAGGCGAACGGGUGAGUAAUACAUCGGAACAUGUCCUGUAGUGGGGGAUAGCCCGGCGAAAGCCGGAUUAAUACCGCAUACGAUCUACGGAUGAAAGCGGGGGACCUUCGGGCCUCGCGCUAUAGGGUUGGCCGAUGGCUGAUUAGCUAGUUGGUGGGGUAAAGGCCUACCAAGGCGACGAUCAGUAGCUGGUCUGAGAGGACGACCAGCCACACUGGGACUGAGACACGGCCCAGACUCCUACGGGAGGCAGCAGUGGGGAAUUUUGGACAAUGGGCGAAAGCCUGAUCCAGCAAUGCCGCGUGUGUGAAGAAGGCCUUCGGGUUGUAAAGCACUUUUGUCCGGAAAGAAAUCCUUGGCUCUAAUACAGUCGGGGGAUGACGGUACCGGAAGAAUAAGCACCGGCUAACUACGUG
rnacentral:rRNA from 1 species